UGCAUUUUGCCAUCGUGUAGGACAUAACUCAAGAAGCACCAAACAAAAUUUAAUGGCAUAUAUGAAAUCUGCAUAAAGAACUCUACAAUUGGCUCUUUUCAAAUCUCUAGUACAAAUAAUAAAAAUAUUUCGAGCAAUAUUCAAUUCAAUCAGCAAAACGUGCCCCCUGCUAUAGUGACCUACAACAUAGCGGUGCAAAGUUUAAGGCAAGUCCUCUUGUCGAAGUGACUGGGCUAUCUUCCCAGGGGCUUCUGCUGAACACUGUGAAUUUUCCUGCAUUUGCCAGAAGUGCAAUACCAAAAUGUUUGUGAAUGUGCAAUUGGUAUUGGCACACUAACAGAAAAAGACAGUUAUGUGAAAUGCAGAAUCGACUAUAACAUUGUGCGACAUUUAAUUUUUGACUCCACAUAUUUAUUUUGUGUUUUGUGCUGAAUGUUUCACGGUGACUGCCGCUAAUUAUUGAACAUAAGUGCUUCAUGACAGCGCAACAAUUUUCACUAACAGAAAUUUAUAACUGUGGCAGGCAUUAUAAUUACAGUACUCAAUCACGUCUACUUUGUAAGAACUCAGACUAGCACCAGUUCUGAGACACGCAUACCCAAAAAGCAAUGAUCAAAUAGAUUUCUCUUCCAUAUGGAAUUGUCCCACAAGGCUUACAAAAGGCUUUUUGGCAAAGUAAUAUCUGAAAGAGCAAAGCAUGUUCCACCAAGUAUGGUGACCAGAGCUGCCAGUCUGAGGACUCCUACAAACUAAGAAUACCUUCAGCACUGACUAGCUUCAAUGAUGGGAUGUCAGCAGUUGGCUGAUAUUAAUAAAACUUCAAUUAUUGUGAUCUUGUUUAAGAAAACAUUUGCAAUUAUCCUGCAGUUCUAAUCUCUGUCACUUUUUGUAAAUAUUUUCCAGUUAUUUUUUCAGGCUACAAUUUUCGGUAAUAGUGGUAUUCAUUGCAGAAAGAGCUAGUACAUGACAUUUAAUAAGAAGGUACUGGUCAUUGUAGAUUUCCUGUCUUCAGCAUUAGUUCUGUUCCACAGCUGUUUCUUGAAAUCUGAAAUGAUGUACCCAUCUCUUUGUUAGCAAUGACAGGGAAAUCUGUCAGUAUGUUUUGUUUAAAAUACAGCUGUUCAACCCAAUAGUAGUUAGGCUAUUUGCUAAUUAUAAAUUAUAACGAUAAUAGUGCAGGACCAUAAAACCAGAUUGAUGCUGACUCACAGCUGUGGCGAGCUACAUCCACACAGCUGAGCCAUACAAUGUGCAUGUGUUCAGAAGAGCCAAAUGCCCCAGAGCGAAAGCAACAGUAACUCGUUGUUCGUCAUCUUGUACAAGCAGAUUAUGCGCCAGAUGUAAUUUAUGCUCAGUAAAUACAUAAAUCAGACAUGUGAGGUGUCUCACUUUAGGUUGCAAGUUCGAAGUUCUUGUAAUCUUGCUUGUUUUUAUUUUGUUUCCUUUGUGAACAUGAGUGACUUGGUUGCCUUAGCACAUAUUGUCAAAACUGUUUAUUCCUCACUGGGAAUCAUGAAAUUUAAUUUACGCAUAAAAUUCCCAGUUACUAAUUUGGUAGGCUUCGAGCUUAAUUCUCUUAUCUUUUAUAUGUUUAUCUACCAACUAGUUUUAUCGUUCAUUGAAACAUAUCGACGCAAUGCAAAGUUGGCACCCAAAUUAUAAAUAUCUGUUGCUUUCUAACCUGCUCUGGUGUUUUUGUAACCUAGCAUUGGUAUAAUGGCCUGUCUGCACCUGCAGAAAAGUACUGAAGUGGCUAAAGUUAAAGGUCAACAACAUAAUAAAGAUACAAAGCAAAAAUAUAAGCUUGCAAUGGACCCCCAUAACCAGAGUGUCGCUUAGAAAUUGAAAAAAAAUAAACAUUUGACAUCCUGUUAUGGUGGGAGAGUUGCUUUGGGCACGGAGUGAACUGUGCAUCACCUGUGCUAGAGUACACAACAAAGCAAAAAAUCACACCAGAUUGGAGUGGCAGGGGAAAGUUGAGCACAGAUGUUUUAUUUCAUGCACCAUUAAUGUGGCUUAUCAUCUGCUCCUCUUUUGUUUUGUGAGAACGCACACAUUGGUAAAGCAAUGUGCCAAUGUCACCAUAGCGGGAUACCAGAGAAAGGUAGAAAUCAAGAACAGGUAUUCACACUUGGUUGCCCACAGUGUAUUAUCUGGAUGUGUUUCACUGUACAAAAGACUACUGUGGUAGGUAAUCAUAAAGAAGAAGACAAAAGAAUUAAAAGAGGUAUGUGUAAGUCAUCCUUACGUGACCUCCAGUGUUUAUAGAAACAUUUUUCUAUAUAUAUGCCAAGCCAUAGGGAGGCUUUAUGUAACUCAGUCAUGAUUUCUAAGUUAAAAAUCAAAAUAAGGACAAUCACAGGAACAUUGUAUCAGUGAUUUGUAAAUGUGGUACCUAAUGUAACUUAUUCAUGUAUGUGCUGAGGGUAGAUUACAACCAGUGCAUAAUCUGCUCUUACAGGAUGACUUGUGAUGAGUAAAGGAAGCCUUCCUCACAUCUUCCUCUUUGUUUCUUUUGGAUCUUGGUGUACCAUGUCUUGUUACAGCUGCGUGCAUGAAGCUGGUUAUAGUUUGUGUGUUCUGCUUCCUCCCUUGUCCUCAUCAUUCAUGUGCUAUCGUUGCCUUAACAAAAUACACCUACCUGUGCUACAUAUUUUGUCAGCGUGUUUGCAUUAUGGCAAGUUUCGUAUUAGUGGUUAUUGCAAUCUGUGAAAUUGUUUGUGUCAGCUAUUAUACUUUGUCUUGCAAAAGUAUGUUUAUCAAUGUAAAUAAACGAUUAGUAUGAAUGUUGCUGUAUUUACUUUUGUAAUAUUGUCAAUCAUGAAGUUUUUAUACACUGCUGCAUGUUGUAUGACAGAAUAAAAUUGAUGCACAACUUUUUAAUGUGGUAUUUUUCAGAUCAAUUUUCAACUUGCACUAACACACACAAGUUGUGUGGGAAAAGUGCCAACAAGAGUACCAUAAGGAAAAAGCAACCAUACCCACUGUGAGUGCAGUGUUGUCGUUCUGCCCAUAUAUCACCAGGUCCGAAUGGGUUAUCCUGAUGCUCACGCAGACGCUCUUAAAGGUGCAACUGGACUAUGAUUUGUUUGAUUAUCUACAUGCUAAUGCCAUACUCCUGCCACCUCACAUCAGGCAACAAUUUCUGAACAGUGCCAGGAAAGUCAGCCGUGAGGCACUAAAAACUGAAUUCGCCUUCAGCUUCCUACCUCUGGUCGAUACGGAAAUUUGCCUGGCACUUCAUGGGUUGCUGCUGUUAUGGUAUGUAGUUCGCAGCAACGAAAACGAUGCGCUGUCACGGCACCUGUUGGGGCAAGUUCAGCCACCAAACAGCCUGGCAAUGAUAUGGCUCACGAAGGCAUUUGCGUUAUGUUCAAUUACCAGGAAAACCCUUAUUUUUUUGGGUGUCGUCAAAGGCCUUAUCAAGUUUUUUGCCAGACCUACACGUGGUACCCUAAACUGAUCACGUUGUGUGCAACCUGCUUUGCACUCAUGGAAAUCAUACUAGCAGUUUUGACUCCGGCAUCACGUGUCGUCUUGAAAUUUGUGACUGACUUCACAUGAGCAAGAAAAAGCAACCAUACCCACUGUGAGUGCAGUGUUGUCGUUCUGCCCAUAUAUCACCAGGUCCGAAUGGGUUAUCCUGAUGCUCACGUAGACGCUCUUAAAGGUGCAACUGGACUAUGAUUUGUUUGAUUAUCUACAUGCUAAUGCCAUACUCCUGCCACCUCACAUCAGGCAACAAUUUCUGAACAGUGCCAGGAAAGUCAGCCGUGAGGCACUAAAAACUGAAUUCGCCUUCAGCUUCCUACCUCUGGUCGAUACGGAAAUUUGCCUGGCACUUCAUGGGUUGCUGCUGUUAUGGUAUGUAGUUCGCAGCAACGAAAACGAUGCGCUGUCACGGCACCUGUUGGGGCAAGUUCAGCCACCAAACAGCCUGGCCAUGAUAUGGCUCACGAAAGCAUUUGUGUUAUGUUCGGUUACCAGGAAAACCCUUCUUGUUUUGGGUGUCAUCAAAGGUCUUAUCAAGUUCUUCUGCCAGACUUACACGUGGUACCCAGAACUGAUCACAUUGUGUGCGACCUGCUUUGCACUCCUGGAAAUCAUACUUGCAGUUCUGACUCCGGCAUCAUGUGUCGUAUUGAAAUGUGUGACUGUCUUCACAUGAGCAAGUGGUGUGGACCCCACUGAAAGCAUCCACGCAGUUGUGGAAAGCUGGAUGGAACUAUCUAGCUGCCAACGACCAAAUUCUUUCUCUCUCUCUCUCUUAUCUCCCUGUCUCUACCUUUUUUUGUUUUUACACUUUCUUGCAUAAUUAAAAUUGGUGGUGUCUGCUCUUCUGUGUUC